rnacentral:lncRNA from 1 species
AGCACUGAAGAGUCUUCCCUGAUGGGGAAACUUCCACAGAAGAACAUGGCUCGUUUUGGCAGCUCUUUCCCUGUGGUAGCUAAGAAGAUGGUUCCGGAGCAGAGGGUAAUUGGUGAUGUCCAAAUCCUGCUGUGGCCAUGUGGAUCCAUAUGACACAACUAAGGACACUGGAGUACUGGCCUAAAAAGAAGAGGUUCAUCUGUAUGCUUGUGUCUGCAGAGUUUACCAACACAGCUGCUCCAUGCAGUGGCUAUGUGUUUCUCUAUUUUGAAACAGGAAAUUACUGCUUGAAAAAGGAUUAUAGGCUGAGUUCAGCUUCAGUUCAACCUUCAUCAAUCAAUAUCAUUAAAAGCAAAAAAUUUGCCAAAGCAAACUUACUCUGUCAGUGCUGCUCUAAUGAGUGGAUGAGGGGAGCACUACGUGAUCGACUUCAGAAGGGUUGCUCCACUAAGUGUCACGGCUGCUUGAAUUUAAAAUGUCAAAGUUACUCCAGUUAUAGCUCCUGCUGGGCACCAAAGCCUGUUGGAAAAACCCUAAAAGACAGCUGGAAAGGGAAUAUUGUAUCAAAUGUCCAAGUGUUCUAA